AUUGAUCUGUCAUCAGGAAAGUUAUCUUCAUAGUCAAUGUGUGCCUCGGUUUCAUCUAGAAACAUUAAAAAAAACCAACACAAAACACAACACUUAAUUUCUCCAGAAGAGCACUGGGCUCAUUUGUUACAAGAAGCCAAGAAGAAAGGUGCAAUGAAGAGUGACUUCUAGACAGUAAUUUUCAUUCCAUGUGAGCUCUUCAGAGCUGCCCGAAGAAGACCCCACCACCAAAGCUGAUAUUGAAUUUUGCUUAACUUCAUCUGAAGGAAAGAAGAUGCACCCAUGACUGCAAGGAUAGAAAACUCUUGUCUCCAACACUUAAAGCCUAACACCUAGGGAUCAAGAUACACCAUCUGCAAUCAACUCUCAGGCCUCCAAUUUUAAGAAACUUAAUGUUACCAUAAAGAAAAGAGAAAAAAAAUCCCCAAAACCAAACUGGCAAAACCCCCUGAAAGCCUGAAUGCAACAGAGGAGCAGAUUAAUCUCAAAGUUUGAGUUUGAUUUAGAAAUACUCCCCAUGCCUCAACAGACUUACCACUUAUAGCAAAAUAGACUUAACUCAGAGCAUGAAACUAAAUGUUUGAAUUUGAAUGAAAUAAUGCAUUGUAAUUUAUAUUUCUUCCACUCCUCUAAAAGACCUUAGCUCAAUGAAAAUUUUUCCAAACCAGACAGGGUGGUUGAUUUUCAGCUCACACAAGUUUUACUCCACAGAAAGUUGAUGUAAUUGCUGAGAUUUAUGCUGGCAUUACAAGUCCUAGAAAAUAGUGCCUUAGGAUGUGGAAAAUAAAACAAAUGAAUCAUGGUGAGAAUUUUUCUUUUUAAUAGAGUGUUUAGCCUUUCAUGAAGACGGUAAAGCAAUAGACCUGGCAUGACACGGGAAACAAGAAAUUAAUAGGCGAAGCUGUAUUACAAAUCAGUGCAUUCAUAAAGCCUUAUCUUUUUUUGCCUUUUUACACUCAAUCAACUUUGAAUCACAUUUUCAUCUGGGGCCCACCUCAAUUUCCGAAUGAGUCACAUUCUCCUUGGAGACUGCUUCCCAGACUUCUGGCAGAGCCAUAUUUGGUCUACUCUUAAGAAAGAUUAGAAAUAUUGUCAAACCAGUCUGACCAAAACCACUCAGUAGUGAUACAGCUCACACCAGCUUACUUUUUGCCAGAACAACUUAAGCCAGGUGCCAGAAGAGAAUGAGUAUUAGCAAAAGGUAUUUUUCUUGGAAUAGCAUCCGGGUCUACCAGAAACCAAAGCAGUUAUGCUGAGGAAACCAAAAUGUGUGAGUUAAUACCUCUGUGAAAGCUAUCAUGUUGGAGAACUGGAUGUUCUCAGUAGGUCCUCUCACCUCACAGCAAGGGUGUAAGGUAAAACCUGUGCAAGAUACAACAGUGCCAACAAUGGACUUCUCUCCUGCCUGGUCCUGGUGUCCUUAUCUGCUUGUGUAAUCCUCUAGAUCCUCUCCAUCCUCUCCAAAGCAGGAAAAAAGUUCAUCUGGUGCAAAAACAACUUAACAGACAGGAGAAUCCAUCUCUCCAAAGGGAAACCUUCCUGGUAGGACUCUCACUUUUCUAAUUCAUCCUAAAAUAUUUUCCAACAAUAUUUCAGGCUUUUGUUAAUGACUGGAGGGUCCCUCUGAAUACCAAAACAUUUUAGCAACAUAUUUAUGAAGCUCUGUGUGGCACUGGCCAUCAGUACAUAGCACUUAUAACAGCCAUCAAAUGCUAGUCUCACUUUGUCCCUUGUCCCAUUUUCACUGAAGAAUUUUUCUACCUGGUACGCUCUUUGCAUGGAAAUGGUACUUCAAGCCAUUUCGUCCUCUUACCAGCCAGGCUCUUGCUAAAAGUUGGUAUCUGGAAUGCCUGCUUCACUGAAGUCCAGUGUCUCCCAGGGCAGCCUGUAGGAUAUAUAUGCACUGGAACAUCAUAAUGUGAGAACUCACUGUUUACCAACGGUGCUGGUCAUUAUUUCCUUUUUUAAGAUCAAUCAUCAUAUGUCUAUCUUCACCUGUACCUCUGUUUUUGCUACUCAUUUACUUUUCAGACUACAACAAUCCAGCUGAGGAUGAAACAUUGAUUUUUACGUUAUGGUGUUCUAGUGCAUGCACACACAUCCAUGAACAAAAAUUACAUUCAUAUGCUUGGGUUGUUUCCUCCAGAUGUAUUCUUUAGUUAGCAGUGUGAAAAAGGCAGCUAGUAUUCAUCUUAUUUACCAGUACGGAUCAUUGGUGAAUGCUUAACAACUGCAGUAAUAUGGUUUUUAUAGAAUUUGAAGCUCUUCUCCUUUAGUGGUUCUCCUGCCAUGUGCUUUCAGCCCUUCAGAUGAAAGUCCUCUGGAGGCACAUCAGGAAAGAGAAUGUGCUCCUAGGAAAAUACAAGUCCUCAGUCUACCAGAACAUAUUAAGUGUUUGCUGAACUAUCUAUCAAGUCUCCAUCAAACCUGCUGUCUUUGGGCCUGAUCCUGCAUGUAUAGAAAUGAAUCGAUGCUUUCUUAAUGUUCAGCUGAGGAAAGAAAAAGCCCAUUGUAGUCUAAAGAGAGCCUGAGAUUGGAGCUCAUUAUGCACUGCUUGUCACUGCAUAAGGGAGUCUUGUUCCUUCUAACAAUCAGAUUGUGGCCCAAGUUGUAAAGCUGCUAUAAUGUAUUUUCAUAUGCAAUCUCCUGUAUUUGUAUAGUUUAUAGCAAAGACUAUCAACAUAACUAAUGUUUGUGUAUAGGAUGGCAGAAUGAAAGCAGCUAUUGAGCUCUCCAACCAUCAAAGGAAAUACAGACCCCCUGACUCUGAAGCUUUGAUUUAUAUGAUCCUGAAUUGACUUACACAGUAAUAAUACUCUAUUCUUUCUUCUGGGCCUCAGACCUUCAAAUGGGGCCUGGACUUAGUGUUUAGUGAUUUUGUGUUACCAUGACAAUCUUUUAAGUCAGCCAUGAGCUUGAUUUUCCAGAACAGAUUGCACAACUUUUGCACUUCUUUUUGCUCACCUCCUCAGCACUUACCUGAGCUUUACAGCUCCCUGAAUUUUAGUCUCAGUACUGAAAAGCCACAACCAAACUAGAUUCAAUUCCACCUCUUAUCCAAAUAGUUGUAAUCUAUGUUUAUAUUUAUACACAUUUUAAAAACAGCUAGCAACUGGUUUAAAAGUGGUUGUAUCUUCCUUCCUAUCCAGGCAGGUCUGUUUUUAAGAAGAGCCAGCACUGAAAUGAAUUAGUCCAAGACCAAAAUCUUCCUAUAUUUGGUCAUUGUGACAUCUUACCCCUACCCUCCUCUGGCAGACUCAAUGAUCAGGGAGUUUUGAUUUACUGUCUGCGGGAUUACUGAGGCUGAAAUGAACAUUUUACAGCAACAGAAGCUGAAAUGGCACACUACCAAAGAUGUGAAACUCAAUUAAAAGAUUUACCAACUGUAUGAUUGUACCUUGUAUCCUGGGUGCCAGAAUGGACUGUAUCUCUUCUAACUGGAUCAAAACAGAGAGGAAAUAUGAUCAUAAAGCUACUUCAAAGAACAUGUUCCCAAAGGUGAGAGCAAACACCAUGUUUUCAUUUCAGCAGCCUGCUCUGUAGCAACUGUGUGGCUUCAUGUGAAAAUAAACAUAGCAGAAGAUAUACAAAACCUGCAUUGUGCACUCUAUCUGGUAAACAAUGUCUUUGGCUCUCUGAUGCUGCCUGGGAGCAGCUUUUGAUCUACUCUGAAGAAAAUACCUCUGGCAUUUCUGUACCAUCAGUAGGAAUCCCUUACCUUGAGUAAACUAAGUACAUAGAAAAGUUAUAAGCCUCACCCAGUAGCAGAAUGAGCACACACAAGAUUAUAAACAACUGAUUUCCAGAAAGGGGCUGAUUCUGAUAUUAAAUACACAAGUGAAGAAUCUUCCCAAAGGUUGUUUUCUAGUAAUUAAAAAUUAUGUUCAGUACUAAAGAAAAAGGGCAAUUGCAGGGGGAAAGAAGGAAGAUGGUGGACUGGAAAGCAGGAGCUGAAUGCUAACCCUGGGAUAAGACUCAGUGAAUCCCCAAAAUGGGGUAGCAGAUACAGAUAAAAUAAAUAUGGCAUAAAA